AUCUUGCCGUUUCGCGAUUUUUUGUUGGUCGCACCAGCUUUCCGGCGAUAAUUCGUAAUCCUGUCUUCUUGGAGUAUCGGGAAUCGUGCCGUCGCCGGUACUGAUUUGGUAAAACAGACCAUAUCAAAUAGUUGCUCCGAAAGUUCGUUUGUUUAAGGUCUUGUACACUCUGGUCACCAAAAGCAGCGGUUUCAAAACCUUCCGGUGGUACAUACCGUUCGGCUUAUGACUAUGACAGGACCACAUUCAAGAAGUCGCAGUCGGAAAAAUUUAGCUGCUGCCACUGGCUCGACCAGACGCACCUUAAAAAUAGUCAAUCAGAAACGAACAUUUCCUCGGCAAAUUCUUCGAUGGUGCCAAGUCGCCCGGCGAGCUAACGGGAGUCCGCUUCGACCGGUAGACAUGGAGCUUUCGCCCGAGCGGCUAGGUCACUUUCGCUGCCGCUCGUUGCUGGAGGCUGCUUGCGCUUCGCGUGCAGCCUUUACAUGUUCCGCUCCAGCGUGGCGUCGCGCAGUGACUCCGUUGAGCCACUGAGUUCGACGAGGAAGACGUUUUAAGAAAAACGAGAACGCGAGGCCAAUCUGAAGCACAAGCCGGAUGUUGCCAAGCAGCACAUGCCGCUGCGACACACGAAGCCAUCCAAAACUUGCUCCUCGAAUGACUAUGCCAACUGUCGCUGAGUUGCCAAGAGGUAGUGCAUUCGGAAGACAAUUUUAUGUAAAAAAAAUUGAAAUGAAUUGUUAAGCACGAAUAAAAAGCUACGCCAAAUA